rnacentral:rRNA from 1 species
GACGAACGCUGGCGGCGUGCUUAACACAUGCAAGUCGAACGGAAAGGCCCUGCUUUUGUGGGGUGCUCGAGUGGCGAACGGGUGAGUAACACGUGAGUAACCUGCCCUUGACUUUGGGAUAACUUCAGGAAACUGGGGCUAAUACCGGAUAGGAGCUCCUGCUGCAUGGUGGGGGUUGGAAAGUUUCGGCGGUUGGGGAUGGACUCGCGGCUUAUCAGCUUGUUGGUGGGGUAGUGGCUUACCAAGGCUUUGACGGGUAGCCGGCCUGAGAGGGUGACCGGCCACAUUGGGACUGAGAUACGGACCAGACGCCUACGGGAGGCAGCAGUGGGGAAUAUUGCACAAUGGGCGGAAGCCUGAUGCAGCAACGCCGCGUGCGGGAUGACGGCCUUCGGGUUGUAAACCGCUUUCGCCUGUGACGAAGCGUGAGUGACGGUAAUGGGUAAAGAAGCACCGGCUAACUACGUG